AUUGAACGCUGGCGGCAUGCCUUACACAUGCAAGUCGAACGGUAACGCGGGGCAACCUGGCGACGAGUGGCGAACGGGUGAGUAAAGUAUCGGAACGUGCCCAGUAGUGGGGGAUAGCCCGGCGAAAGCCGGAUUAAUACCGCAUGAGACCUGAGGGUGAAAGCGGGGGAUCGCAAGACCUCGCGCUGUUGGAGCGGCCGAUAUCAGAUUAGGUAGUUGGUGGGGUAAAGGCCUACCAAGCCGACGAUCUGUAGCUGGUCUGAGAGGACGACCAGCCACACUGGGACUGAGACACGGCCCAGACUCCUACGGGAGGCAGCAGUGGGGAAUUUUGGACAAUGGGCGCAAGCCUGAUCCAGCCAUGCCGCGUGCGGGAAGAAGGCCUUCGGGUUGUAAACCGCUUUUGUCAGGGAAGAAAUCUUCUGGGUUAAUACCUCGGGAGGAUGACGGUACCUGAAGAAUAAGCACCGGCUAACUACGUGCCAGCAGCCGCCGUAAAAC
rnacentral:rRNA from 1 species